GAACUUCAACACCUUGCUUUCUUAUGCAAAUCCGAAGUUGAUUCAAUUGGUAGGUUAACUGCUGGAAUCUUGCGGUUGCUUAAGCUUGAAAAGUCACUUGGCAAAGAAGCCAUGAAUAAACUUAGCAACCUCGGAAUCGAGGGUUUCGAAAAGAUUUUCUCAUCUGAUAAGCUCAGUCAAGGCAGCAAGCUUCAAGGUAUCACAACAUUGGCUUUGCUUGAGGAGGCAGUUUCAGAUUCACAAGCCAAGUGUGCUGCUCUCAUCACUGAAUCAUCUAAUUCGGAGUCUUCCUAGGCUGGUGCUUCUUUGGAAUCUCUUGCUAAGGGUACUAAGAACUCAAUGGGCUUGUCAACAAUUGCACUAAAUUGCACAGAAGGUGGUCAUAUUUAUUUUCUUUAUGAAAAUUUUCUUCGCUUCAUUUUCUUUGAUAUUUUUUUUUUGUUUUUUCAGUAUUUUUUCCUCUUUAUUUUGAUUUUAAUUUUUUUUUCAUAUUUGAAGAAUCUUCGAUUGUUUUCUAUAUACUCAUUUCUUGAUCGGAGUUUGGUUUUAAUUUAUGUAAGGUAGAAUGUCCCAGCAGU